AUAAGCCCCAAACAGAUCUUCGUGACACAGCGGAUCGGACCCUCGUCCCAUCCGGUAUGAAAACUCUCACGCUGGUCAUUGGGGGCUGCGGUUCCCUGACGCUGCUGUCGCUGCUCCUGCUGCAGAUCAGGGGAGCUCCGCAUUUCAUGACACCUGUGGAGAAGUGCUUAAACCAUGGCAGAGGAAUAGAAAAGACGCUCAACUCCUGUGGGGUGUGCCCAUAACCCUUCUGCUAAAACGGGGAGUGGUAGUAGGCUGAGGCGUGGAGGUGCAGGCAAGCAAGGCGUCAAGAGCGAGAGGAAGGUGGUCCGAGAUUCAUCCACAUCUGUUCUGUCCCGAGUGACGCAUGACCCCCCACGAAUACAUUAUUGGACCUCAGUCGAACGGGAGUGAGCGGUUCAAGAUCCAGGACCGACUCCAGUGAAGCAAUCAAGUGCGCCACAGGUGGAGGCGCUGGUACUACUUCUGCUGUAGCUGCCGCUGCCGAGUCGAGGACAGCUGCUGAAUCUUCUCAUGGAGCCAGUUAAGGAAUAUAUAAGCAACUCUGAGUCUAUAUUUCUUGAAACUCAAGAACCUAGCAGGCCGUAUGUUGUGGUGCUGACGCGAUGAUGCGGAUACGCAGAAGGCCGACUCGUUAGCAUUUUCGCAGCUCAAGGAUUUCGCACGACAUCGGAACCGAGCUACAGCAGUGAGGACAGCUGACAGCCCAUGUGUGCCAACCGAAGCAUCCCCAGUGGAUGGUGAUCGCCCAGCUAGAGAAUCCAGGACCAUGGGUACUCGGCCAUCAAGACAACAGCAGGCUGCCCUUGAGAAAAGAGCUUCAUGGAAGCGGAUCCCAACGGAGCAGAACAAAUAAUUCAUUAUCAGUUAGCCGAAUAACUUCCUCUUCUAUGCAUUUACAGAGUCACAACUGAUGACAUUUUUCCUUUUGCCAGUUUAGACAAUAAUGAACUUACUUGUUUCUUAAAUAAUACUGUACCACACCAUUUUUCCUUCCAUAUUAUUAACGAUAUGAUAUACAAUCCUUAGAAACAUUAUGAUAAUGAUAUGUUUAAGAAUUGUCUUUUUGAUCACAACUUCUUCGAAUCCAAUUGUAAUUACUUUUUUGUGAUUAUCUAAAUGUGAUAUUUAGUGAACACAAUAUGUCUUUAAAUUUAUUUGUUGUCAAUAUUUCCAGUAUUCCCCUCCACCUAGAGAGUUGUAUCGAACAAUGUAUAAAACGUAAGUAAUGCAAAAUAUAAUGUAAUAUGCUUCGGUGAAACUCGCCUCAUUGAUGCUACUUCCAGUCUUUACUCCAAUGAGAGAUUCAACUCCAUUUUAAUAAUAAAAACAGACACAGUGGUGGCAUCGUUAUUUUUACAAGUAAUAGUUUUAAAACUAAAGUCCGAACAGUAGACAAUUUAUUAUUGCAGUUACCACACAUAGAAUCUCUGUAUUUAGAAAUUACCUGGCCACGUCAUUUCAUAGUAGGCAUGAUCUACAGAUCCCCAAAUAGUAGCGCUCACAAUUUUUUGUAUCUAUUCUGGAUAUUAUAUCUAUUGUUUCCUGCUCCAGAACACCUAUUUAUAUGAUGGGAGACUUCAGUAUUAAUAUUUUGAGUUAUGAUGAAAAAAGUGCCCAAGAUUUGGUGAAUAUAUUCCACAGUUUCUCUUUUUUCUCUACUAUUAAUAAGCCAAGAGGAGUCACUAAAAAGUAGCUAAAAAGUAGCUAAAAGUAGCUAAACAAGUAGCUAUUCACCACCUCUGUCAGGGUAUUAUAACGUACUUGAAAACAAGCUAUUUCUUUUGCGAUCUAACCAAGGCAUUUACUACCAUCUGCCACAACAUCUUAUUAGAAGAACUCUCUGUUUACGGAAUACGCGGCACUCCUCACAAGUGGUUCAAGAGUUAUCUCAGUAAUCGGAAAGACUCCACUUUUUUCAACAAUGUGUCCUCCCCAUACAGCAAUAUUACAUGUGAUGUUCCUCACUGAUCUGUUCUUGGCCCGGUUCUUUUCCUAUUAUACAUUAAUGAUAUUGUUCGAUCCAACAAUAAACUUAAAUUCCUGC